GUUAGUGUGGCAGAGCCUGGUAAUUGCAAAAGGCCUAAGCCCUUCAAACAGGGGUUCAAAUCCUCUCCCUAACU
rnacentral:tRNA from 2 species